rnacentral:rRNA from 1 species
GAUGAACGCUGGCGGCGUGCCUAAUACAUGCAAGUCGAGCGAACAGACGAGGAGCUUGCUCCUUUGACGUUAGCGGCGGACGGGUGAGUAACACGUGGGUAACCUACCUAUAAGACUGGGAUAACUUCGGGAAACCGGAGCUAAUACCGGAUAAUAUUUCGAACCGCAUGGUUCGAUAGUGAAAGAUGGUUCUGCUAUCACUUAUAGAUGGACCUGCGCCGUAUUAGCUAGUUGGUAAGGUAACGGCUUACCAAGGCAACGAUACGUAGCCGACCUGAGAGGGUGAUCGGCCACACUGGAACUGAGACACGGUCCAGACUCCUACGGGAGGCAGCAGUAGGGAAUCUUCCGCAAUGGGCGAAAGCCUGACGGAGCAACGCCGCGUGAGUGAUGAAGGUCUUCGGAUCGUAAAACUCUGUUAUUAGGGAAGAACAAACGUGUAAGUAACUGUGCACGUCUUGACGGUACCUAAUCAGAAAGCCACGGCUAACUACGUGCCAGCAGCCGCGGUAAUACGUAGGUGGCAAGCGUUAUCCGGAAUUAUUGGGCGUAAAGCGCGCGUAGGCGGUUUUUUAAGUCUGAUGUGAAAGCCCACGGCUCAACCGUGGAGGGUCAUUGGAAACUGGAAAACUUGAGUGCAGAAGAGGAAAGUGGAAUUCCAUGUGUAGCGGUGAAAUGCGCAGAGAUAUGGAGGAACACCAGUGGCGAAGGCGACUUUCUGGUCUGUAACUGACGCUGAUGUGCGAAAGCGUGGGGAUCAAACAGGAUUAGAUACCCUGGUAGUCCACGCCGUAAACGAUGAGUGCUAAGUGUUAGGGGGUUUCCGCCCCUUAGUGCUGCAGCUAACGCAUUAAGCACUCCGCCUGGGGAGUACGACCGCAAGGUUGAAACUCAAAGGGGUUGACGGGGACCCGCACAAGCGGUGGAGCAUGUGGCUUAAUUCGAAGCAACGCGAAGAACCUUACCAAAUCUUGACAUCCUUUGACCCUUCUAGAGAUAGAAGUUUCCCCUUCGGGGGACAAAGUGACAGGUGGUGCAUGGUUGUCGUCAGCUCGUGUCGUGAGAUGUUGGGUUAAGUCCCGCAACGAGCGCAACCCUUAAGCUUAGUUGCCAUCAUUAAGUUGGGCACUCUAAGUUGACUGCCGGUGACAAACCGGAGGAAGGUGGGGAUGACGUCAAAUCAUCAUGCCCCUUAUGAUUUGGGCUACACACGUGCUACAAUGGACAAUACAAAGGGCAGCGAAACCGCGAGGUCAAGCAAAUCCCAUAAAGUUGUUCUCAGUUCGGAUUGUAGUCUGCAACUCGACUACAUGAAGCUGGAAUCGCUAGUAAUCGUAGAUCAGCAUGCUACGGUGAAUACGUUCCCGGGUCU